CCAAAUCUUCAACCUAUUGGCCUCCAAUCCCUCAUUUGGCAUCUUCCGCUUCCGCUUUCCGUUCCCAUUCCCACACGCCUCUCUCACGGCCUCCUCAACCUCCGCUGCACACUUGGCGGAUUCUUUCCUAUACUUCUCUACAUAUUUCUCCGCCUCUCCAUCCCCAGCCCCCUUCUUCCCUUUCUUCACCUUCUUUUUAAUAAAUUCCUCUGCAAUCUUCUCCAAUCUCCUUUCUUCCUCCUCUGCUUUCCACUCCUCCAACCUCUUCUCGGCAUUCACGUGACGCAGCCUCCUCCCACUCAUGUCGCGACACGCGUCGAAGUUGUUGGACUUCUUUUGACCGGCUUUGGUCGCGGCUCCUCGCAGAAGCGAGCCAAACCCGCCCUUGCCGCCAAGGAGGCGGAGCAAGAGGUGGACAGUGCAUUCAGGACUGGAGAUUACGGAACGGUCACGGAGUUGUGUCCCGCUGUAGAUAAGGCGCUGCGAGCAAGUGGGUAUUUUGGUGAUCUCGAAGAUCCGUUGCUUGAUGGCAAGCCCUUCAAUUUGCGGGGCUGUGAAUCUAAGGAUUGCUGUUUUGCCAUCUAGAAGCUUGACGAAUAUCUGGAAGACGUUACUGCAAUCCUCCAUUUUCGUUUUUAGAGAAUCCAAGCUUUCCCUCUGCGGAAAAAAGAGCAAUCGGAUCGAUUGGAUUGG
rnacentral:misc_RNA from 1 species